GGUUAAGCGACUAAGCGUACACGGUGGAUGCCCUGGCAGUCAGAGGCGAUGAAGGACGUGCUAAUCUGCGAUAAGCGUCGGUAAGGUGAUAUGAACCGUUAUAACCGGCGAUUUCCGAAUGGGGAAACCCAGUGUGAUUCGUCACACUAUCAUUAACUGAAUCCAUAGGUUAAUGAGGCGAACCGGGGGAACUGAAACAUCUAAGUACCCCGAGGAAAAGAAAUCAACCGAGAUUCCCCCAGUAGCGGCGAGCGAACGGGGAGCAGCCCAGAGCCUGAAUCAGUGUGUGUGUUAGUGGAAGCGUCUGGAAAGGCGCGCGAUACAGGGUGACAGCCCCGUACACAAAAAUGCACAUGCUGUGAGCUCGAUGAGUAGGGCGGGACACGUGGUAUCCUGUCUGAAUAUGGGGGGACCAUCCUCCAAGGCUAAAUACUCCUGACUGACCGAUAGUGAACCAGUACCGUGAGGGAAAGGCGAAAAGAACCCCGGCGAGGGGAGUGAAAAAGAACCUGAAACCGUGUACGUACAAGCAGUGGGAGCACAGAGCAAUCUGUGUGACUGCGUACCUUUUGUAUAAUGGGUCAGCGACUUAUAUUCUGUAGCAAGGUUAACCGAAUAGGGGAGCCGAAGGGAAACCGAGUCUUAACUGGGCGUUAAGUUGCAGGGUAUAGACCCGAAACCCGGUGAUCUAGCCAUGGGCAGGUUGAAGGUUGGGUAACACUAACUGGAGGACCGAACCGACUAAUGUUGAAAAAUUAGCGGAUGACUUGUGGCUGGGGGUGAAAGGCCAAUCAAACCGGGAGAUAGCUGGUUCUCCCCGAAAGCUAUUUAGGUAGCGCCUCGUGAAUUCAUCUCCGGGGGUAGAGCACUGUUUCGGCAAGGGGGUCAUCCCGACUUACCAACCCGAUGCAAACUGCGAAUACCGGAGAAUGUUAUCACGGGAGACACACGGCGGGUGCUAACGUCCGUCGUGAAGAGGGAAACAACCCAGACCGCCAGCUAAGGUCCCAAAGUCAUGGUUAAGUGGGAAACGAUGUGGGAAGGCCCAGACAGCCAGGAUGUUGGCUUAGAAGCAGCCAUCAUUUAAAGAAAGCGUAAUAGCUCACUGGUCGAGUCGGCCUGCGCGGAAGAUGUAACGGGGCUAAACCAUGCACCGAAGCUGCGGCAGCGACACUAUGUGUUGUUGGGUAGGGGAGCGUUCUGUAAGCCUGUGAAGGUGUGCUGUGAGGCAUGCUGGAGGUAUCAGAAGUGCGAAUGCUGACAUAAGUAACGAUAAAGCGGGUGAAAAGCCCGCUCGCCGGAAGACCAAGGGUUCCUGUCCAACGUUAAUCGGGGCAGGGUGAGUCGACCCCUAAGGCGAGGCCGAAAGGCGUAGUCGAUGGGAAACAGGUUAAUAUUCCUGUACUUGGUGUUACUGCGAAGGGGGGACGGAGAAGGCUAUGUUGGCCGGGCGACGGUUGUCCCGGUUUAAGCGUGUAGGCUGGUUUUCCAGGCAAAUCCGGAAAAUCAAGGCUGAGGCGUGAUGACGAGGCACUACGGUGCUGAAGCAACAAAUGCCCUGCUUCCAGGAAAAGCCUCUAAGCAUCAGGUAACAUCAAAUCGUACCCCAAACCGACACAGGUGGUCAGGUAGAGAAUACCAAGGCGCUUGAGAGAACUCGGGUGAAGGAACUAGGCAAAAUGGUGCCGUAACUUCGGGAGAAGGCACGCUGAUAUGUAGGUGAAGUCCCUCGCGGAUGGAGCUGAAAUCAGUCGAAGAUACCAGCUGGCUGCAACUGUUUAUUAAAAACACAGCACUGUGCAAACACGAAAGUGGACGUAUACGGUGUGACGCCUGCCCGGUGCCGGAAGGUUAAUUGAUGGGGUUAGCGCAAGCGAAGCUCUUGAUCGAAGCCCCGGUAAACGGCGGCCGUAACUAUAACGGUCCUAAGGUAGCGAAAUUCCUUGUCGGGUAAGUUCCGACCUGCACGAAUGGCGUAAUGAUGGCCAGGCUGUCUCCACCCGAGACUCAGUGAAAUUGAACUCGCUGUGAAGAUGCAGUGUACCCGCGGCAAGACGGAAAGACCCCGUGAACCUUUACUAUAGCUUGACACUGAACAUUGAGCCUUGAUGUGUAGGAUAGGUGGGAGGCUUUGAAGUGUGGACGCCAGUCUGCAUGGAGCCGACCUUGAAAUACCACCCUUUAAUGUUUGAUGUUCUAACGUGGACCCGUGAUCCGGGUUGCGGACAGUGUCUGGUGGGUAGUUUGACUGGGGCGGUCUCCUCCUAAAGAGUAACGGAGGAGCACGAAGGUUGGCUAAUCCUGGUCGGACAUCAGGAGGUUAGUGCAAUGGCAUAAGCCAGCUUGACUGCGAGCGUGACGGCGCGAGCAGGUGCGAAAGCAGGUCAUAGUGAUCCGGUGGUUCUGAAUGGAAGGGCCAUCGCUCAACGGAUAAAAGGUACUCCGGGGAUAACAGGCUGAUACCGCCCAAGAGUUCAUAUCGACGGCGGUGUUUGGCACCUCGAUGUCGGCUCAUCACAUCCUGGGGCUGAAGUAGGUCCCAAGGGUAUGGCUGUUCGCCAUUUAAAGUGGUACGCGAGCUGGGUUUAGAACGUCGUGAGACAGUUCGGUCCCUAUCUGCCGUGGGCGCUGGAGAACUGAGGGGGGCUGCUCCUAGUACGAGAGGACCGGAGUGGACGCAUCACUGGUGUUCGGGUUGUCAUGCCAAUGGCACUGCCCGGUAGCUAAAUGCGGAAGAGAUAAGUGCUGAAAGCAUCUAAGCACGAAACUUGCCCCGAGAUGAGUUCUCCCUGACUCCUUGAGAGUCCUGAAGGAACGUUGAAGACGACGACGUUGAUAGGCCGGGUGUGUAAGCGCAGCGAUGCGUUGAGCUAACCGGUACUAAUGAACCGUGAGGCUUAACCUU
rnacentral:rRNA from 1 species